rnacentral:rRNA from 1 species
AACGAACGCUGGCGGCAUGCCUAACACAUGCAGGUCGAACGAGACCUUCGGGUCUAGUGGCGCACGGGUGCGUAACGCGUGGGAACCUGCCUUUAGGUUCGGAAUAACUCAGAGAAAUUUGAGCUAAUACCGGAUGAUGUCUUCGGACCAAAGAUUUAUCGCCUUUAGAUGGGCCCGCGUUGGAUUAGCUAGUUGGUGGGGUAAAGGCCUACCAAGGCGACGAUCCAUAGCUGGUCUGAGAGGAUGAUCAGCCACACUGGGACUGAGACACGGCCCAGACUCCUACGGGAGGCAGCAGUGGGGAAUAUUGGACAAUGGGCGAAAGCCUGAUCCAGCAAUGCCGCGUGAGUGAUGAAGGCCUUAGGGUUGUAAAGCUCUUUUAACCGAGAUGAUAAUGACAGUAUCGGGAGAAUAAGCUCCGGCUAACUCCGUG